CGGGGGGGGGCGCAAUUGACAAGCGCACUCCUUUGGGGUGGGAGAGGACACUGGUUCAAAUCCAGUCGCCCCGA
rnacentral:tRNA from 1 species